GUGGGGAAUAUUGGGCAAUGGGCGAAAGCCUGACCCAGCAACGCCGCGUGAAGGAAGAAGGUCUUCGGAUUGUAAACUUUUGUCUUAUGGGACGAUAAUGACGGUACCAUAGGAGGAAGCCACGACUAACUACGUGCCAGCAGUCGCGGUAAUACGUAGGUGGCGAGCGUUAUCCGGAAUUAUUGGGUGUAAAGGGUGCGUAGGCGGGAUGUAAAGUCAGAUGUGAAAUGCCGCGGCUCAACCGCGGAGCUGCAUUUGAAACUUAUGUUCUUGAGUGAAGUAGAGGUAAGCGGAAUUCCUAGUGUAGCGGUGAAAUGCGUAGAUAUUAGGAGGAACACCGGUGGCGAAGGCGGCUUACUGGGCUUAGACUGACGCUGAGGCACGAAAGUGUGGGGAGCAAACAGGAUUAGAAACCCGAGUAGUCC
rnacentral:rRNA from 1 species